UGGGGAAUUUUGGACAAUGGGCGGAAGCCUGAUCCAGCCAUUCCGCGUGAGUGAAGAAGGCCUUCGGGUUGUAAAGCUCUUUCGGCAGGAACGAAACGGUCUUGGAUAAUACCUGAGGCUAAUGACGGUACCUGAAGAAGAAGCACCGGCUAACUACGUGCCAGCAGCCGCGGUAAUACGUAGGGUGCGAGCGUUAAUCGGAAUUACUGGGCGUAAAGCGUGCGCAGGCGGUUCUAUAAGACAGAUGUGAAAUCCCCGGGCUUAACCUGGGAACUGCGUUUGUGACUGUAGAACUCGAGUGUGGCAGAGGGGGGUGGAAUUCCACGUGUAGCAGUGAAAUGCGUAGAGAUGUGGAGGAACACCGAUGGCGAAGGCAGCCCCCUGGGUCAACACUGACGCUCAUGCACGAAAGCGUGGGGAGCAAACAGG
rnacentral:rRNA from 1 species